rnacentral:rRNA from 1 species
GACGAACCGUGCGAACGUUGUUCGGAAUCAUUGGGCUUAAAGGGUGCGUAGGCGGGUGUUCAAGUCCGGGGUGAAAGCCUCCAGCUCAACUGGAGAAGCGCCUCGAAUACUGUUCAUCUCGAGAGAGGUAGGGGCACAUGGAACUUCCGGUGGAGCGGUGAAAUGCGUAGAGAUCGGAAGGAACGCCGGUGGCGAAAGCGAUGUGCUGGAUCUUUUCUGACGCUGAGGCACGAAAGCCAGGGGAGCAAACGGGAUUAGAUACCCCGGUAGUCCUGGCCCUAAACGAUGGGUACUGGGUUGCGGGUCGGACAUAGACUCGCAGCCGAAGCAAAAGUGGUAAGUACCCCGCCUGGGGAGUAUGGUCGCAAGGCUG